UACGUAGGGUCCGAGCGUUGUCCGGAAUUAUUGGGCGUAAAGGGCUCGUAGGCGGUUCGUCACGUCGGGAGUGAAAACUCGGGGCUUAACCCCGAGCCUGCUUCCGAUACGGGCAGACUAGAGGUAGGCAGGGGAGAGCGGAAUUCCGGGUGUAGCGGUGGAAUGCGUAGAGAUCCGGAAGAACACCGGAGGCGAAGGCGGCUUGCUGGACCUGGUCUGACGCUGAGGCGCGAAAGCGUGGGGAGCGAACCGG
rnacentral:rRNA from 1 species